GGAACAUGAAGCUUAUGAUGACCCAUAGUUGGAUGUAUGUGAGAGGAUGAACAUUCAGACAUCCUUGAUGACUGGGAUUCUAGGAAGACGAUCACAUACUCGACCAGCCCACCUGUCACCGCGAGAAUCAUCCUGGUAACAAUAAAAUCUACAACCAAGAACAUUUGUUU